GGGGGACCUCGGAGAACAUUUGCCUUGAAAUCAAACAGAAAGUGUUCGACUCACUUAUCCCCUA
rnacentral:tRNA from 1 species